rnacentral:SRP_RNA from 1 species
GCCAGGCGUGCUGGUGCACACCUGUAAUCCCAGCUACUCAGGAGGCUGAGGCAGGAGAAUUGCUAGAACCUGGGAGGCAGAGGUUACAGUGAGCCGAGAUCGUGCCACUGCACUCCAACCUGGGCAAAAAGAGCAAAACUCCGUCUNNNNNNNNNNAAAAAAAAAAAAAAGAGAGAGAGAGAGAUGGGGUCUUGCCCUGUCGCCCAGGCUGGAGUGCAGUGGCACGAUCUCGGCUCACUGUAACCUCUGCCUCCCAGGUUCUAGCAAUUCUCCUGCCUCAG